UCGGAUGUGAAAUCCCCGGGCUCAACCUGGGAACUGCAUUCGAAACUGGCAGGCUAGAGUCUUGUAGAGGGGGGUAGAAUUCCAGGUGUAGCGGUGAAAUGCGUAGAGAUCUGGAGGAAUACCGGUGGCGAAGGCGGCCCCCUGGACAAAGACUGACGCUCAGGUGCGAAAGCGUGGGGAGCAAACAGGAUUAGAUACCCUGGUAGUCCACGCCGUAAACGAUGUCGACUUGGAGGUUGUGCCCUUGAGGCGUGGCUUCCGGAGCUAACGCGUUAAGUCGACCGCCUGGGGAGUACGGCCGCAAGGUUAAAACUCAAAUGAAUUGACGGGGGCCCGCACAAGCGGUGGAGCAUGUGGUUUAAUUCGAUGCAACGCGAAGAACCUUACCU
rnacentral:rRNA from 1 species